rnacentral:lncRNA from 1 species
GCUUGAGGUCUGGAACAAUGAAAUGAUCCUUAAAAUAGUGGCUAAGGCAGGUAAGCCAAAGUUUUUGGACCCCUGGACUGCUACCAAGCCAGUUUGUCCGAAUAUUAAGCUUCUUAUUAAUGAUCAAGUUGUCUGGCAAGAAUUCAUAUAUGAGGAUUUGCCAAACAUUUGCUAUAGUUUUGGUCAUGUAGGUGUCACAUUCCAGUCUUGCUCAAGGUGUAAAGAUAAGUCUUCAGAUCAGGAUUCUUUGCUUUAUAGGCCA